AACGAACGCUGGCGGCAGGCCUAACACAUGCAAGUCGAGCGAGGACUUCGGUUCUAGCGGCGGACAGGUGAGUAACGCGUGGGAAUGUGCCCUUCUCUACGGAAUAGCCCUGGGAAACUGGGAGUAAUACCGUAUACGCCCUAUUGGGGAAAGAUUUAUCGGAGAAGGAUCAGCCCGCGUUGGAUUAGGUAGUUGGUGGGGUAAUGGCCUACCAAGCCGACGAUCCAUAGCUGGUGUGAGAGGAUGAUCAGACACACUGGGACUGAGACACGGCCCAGACUCCUACGGGAGGCAGCAGUGGGGAAUCUUAGACAAUGGGGGCAACCCUGAUCUAGCCAUGCCGCGUGAGUGAUGAAGGCCUUAGGGUUGUAAAGCUCUUUCAGCUGGGAAGUUAAUGACGGUACCAGCAGAAGAAGCCCCGGCUAACUCCGUG
rnacentral:rRNA from 1 species